rnacentral:rRNA from 1 species
AUGGGAGAAUCAGGCCAAGACCAGCUGUUUCCAGGCGAGGAGGACUGCAGGGAGAUGAUUGAACAUGUCCUAGAGAGGAUCAAAGAGCAUCUGUUAAUUCAAGAAACCGUGGGGAGGGUUAGAGAGCAUCUGCAGGGUACAAGGACACUGGUCGUUCUCCACAAUGCCUCUGGCUACAAAUGGGAUGAGACUGCAAAGGCCUUGCGAGAUUUGGGUUGCAGUUCAAUGGCAGUGGUAGUUACCACAAAAUACAUGCAGAGGGCCAACGAGUUUUGCUAUGGGACAGAACCCAUCAUAUACUCUUCUAUUGAAUACUAUCGCGAAACAGCGCUCCAACUUACAAAUCGGCAUGUGAAUGAUGACGAGAAGUACAGCGCUGAAAUCUACCAUGAGAUCUUGGAGAAAUGUAGGGUGGAUGAGUUCUGCAUAAAGAUGUUCAUCCAUGCUCUGUUUGCCAAUCCAAUGAGGAGCAGAGAAGAACUGGACAAGUUGAGCAACAGCCUCGUGUUUGAAGGAUCCGUGGAGACCAAUGGCUACAAGAUGAUCAAGUUCUCGUACAAUGAUCUUCCUAGGGAAUACAAGACCUGCUUGCUGUACCUAGCCAUCUUCCAUAAAGACGAAAAGAUAAACCGGACAAGGUUAAUUGGGCGGUGGGUUGCGGAAGGACUGAUAACUAGACAAGACUGGCCCAGUUCAGUCAGUCAGGCCGAGCAUUGUUUCGAGGUACUUGCCGACCUAUGGCUUCUGUGUCCUUGCGACGUUGGUACUGCAGGGAAGGUCAAGAGCAUUACGUUGCAUCCACUAGUGUACAACUUCAUCACCAAGAUGGCCAGGAAAGAACACAUUCUGGACACACGCCUAUCUUGGCACCUGGCUCGCCACUUCUCUGUUCUCAGCAACAUCCGGCUCCGUCCCUCCGAUAGCAUCUUCAACUUCUUGAAGCAACCAUCCCGAGCAUCAUCUCAGUUAAAUCUCGUCAAGGUCCUGGAUCUGGAAGGUUGUGCAUCCCUUAGGGAUAACCAACGAUGGCUCAGGAACGUGUGCACCUCAUUAAUACUGCUCAAGUAUCUGAGCCUAAGGAACACAGAUGUCACUCAGCUGCCGAAGGAGAUCAACAUGCUCCAGCAGCUGGAGGUGUUGGACAUCCGGCACACUCCUAUGAAUGCCUGCGCCACAAAACUGCUCAUGCUACUGAAGCUAAAGCGUCUGCUGGCUGGUCACACCGGCACUGGUGGUGGUGAUGCUAGCACACUUUCCACUGUCCAGAUGCCUCACAAGGUUAGAAAAAUGAUGGACCUGGAAGUGCUGUCACAUGUACAGGCUUCGAAACAUCAUGCUACAGAGCUGAGAGAGAUUGGCCAGCUAUGGCAACUAAGGGUUCUUGGUGUGAUCAUUUAUGAUUGGAAAGCUCAACUUGAGAACUUACUCCAAGGGAUUAGCGAUCUGAAUGAGUGCCUUCGGUCUUUGUCGAUCGAGAUCAAGCCUCCGCCUUCCAGGCAGGCUGCUACUCCUCCUGACGUGCCUGCAGCCGGUGCUAUCAGUGCACACUGUAAAAACACACCCAAGCUUCUUGAAUGCCUGAGCAUCAGUGGAGUCACGGUGUAUGAGCAUCUUCUCCCAUUGUUCGCAAGAGGCUGCCGCAAACUUGCUGAGGUAACUCUUCAUAACACCUCGUUAGACCACAAUGAUAUGGAAUCCCUCGCAGAUUUGCCAAACCUACGCGGCCUCAGGCUCCAGCAUGUUAAUUUACACACUGAGGGCAAGCUUAUAAUCCAGACUAAUGGGUUCCAAAAUCUCAAGUAUCUUGUCGUUGAGGGGGGCGGCAUCACCGACAUCAACUUCGAACUUGGAGAAGCUCCUAAGCUUGAAAACAUCACCUGGCUCAUCGACGGGAUAGUGUCUCUGUCGGGAAUCAACAACCUUCCCAAGUUGAAAGAAAUGGUGUUCAAUGAUGGUGUCAGGCUACCAGAUCAGGUGAUACAAGCCAUAGAAGCACAUCCAAACUUCAUUGAUACUAAUGGAAUAUGGGAAUUAUGCUAA